AGGGGGAAGGGUGCUUUUGCCUGGGAGGGGCGCUCCUGCAACGAUGCCGGGGGCAAUGGGAGGAAGGGUCAAUAGGUACGCGUGCUAGUCGGGAGGAAGGAAGGCUUCCCUGCGUGUCCAGCAAGAGGUGGCAGUGGAGUGGAGACUGUCUUGCUUGUGUGCCUUAACGGCUGCGUGAAGGUGGGAGAGCUUUCGGCUGCAGAAAAGCUUCGUCCCCUUUUCUCCUCACUGGAGAAUAGGACUACUAAAAGAAACGGGUCUUCCCGCUUCAUUCUUAGUGAAUGGGAAAAGAAGAGGGGUGGGGGAGGUUGUAACUCAGGCUCUUCUGUGGCGGUUUCAGCACCAUCCCGUCAUUCUUUUAGCUAAGCCAAGGGGGUGGGGAAGAUGUUGGAAUUAUUUGCAACCAUAUGAAGGACUACGCUAGAAGGCUAGUUCCUAACUGUAGACAAAGUGGUCUCCUUUGCUCUCCAAGAGACGACCCUUGGACCCUACAAGAUAACCAAGGGACCUUACAAAACAUUCAAGCAAAACUAUUAUACUCUGUCCCAUUGAAGGAGUUGAAUAUGUGCUCUAGGCAAAUGAAGACAUCCUAAUUUUCAUUUUUCAGGAAAUGAGAGGGAGUAGCAAAGUACAGUCAAGGGCUACCUUAUUUCCUGAGACACAACAAUUUUGAAGAAUAUUACAUAAAUUUAGUUGAUGAAGCAGUAGCAGGAUUUCAGAGAAUUGAUUCCAAUUUUGAAAGUUCUACUGUGAGUAAAAUGCUGUCAUAUGCUAGAGAGAAAUCUUUCAUGAAGGAAAUCAAUGGAUGAAGCAAACUCCAUGUUGUAUAUUUUAGAAAUUACCACAGCUACCCCAGCCUUCAGCAGCCACCUCCCCAUCAGUCAUCAGUCAUCAACAUUGAGAUAAGAUCCUCCUUCAGAAAAGAUUAUAACUCAAUUGAAGGUUCAGAUGAUGGCUAGAAUUUUUUAGUAAUAAAAUAUUUUGAAAUUAA